rnacentral:rRNA from 1 species
UACAGAGGUCUCAAGCGUUGUUCGGAAUUACUGGGCGUAAAGGGUGCGCAGGCCGCGCGGGCAGUCAAAUGUGUAAUUCAGGGGCUCAACCCCUGCACUGCGCUUGAUACUUCCGCGCUCGAGCUUUGGAGAGGAGUCUGGAAUUCUCGGUGUAGCAGUGAAAUGCGUGGAUAUCGAGAAGAACACUUAGGGCGUAGGCAAGACUCUGGACAAAUCCUGACGCUCAUGCACGAAGGCUAGGGUAGCGAACGGG